AAAUUGAAGAGUUUGAUCAUGGCUCAGAUUGAACGCUGGCGGCAGGCCUAACACAUGCAAGUCGAGCGGUAGCACAGAAGAGCUUGCUCUUCGGGUGACGAGCGGCGGACGGGUGAGUAAUGUCUGGGAAACUGCCUGAUGGAGGGGGAUAACUACUGGAAACGGUAGCUAAUACCGCAUAACGUCUUCGGACCAAAGAGGGGGACCUUCGGGCCUCUUGCCAUCGGAUGUGCCCAGAUGGGAUUAGCUAGUAGGUGAGGUAAUGGCUCACCUAGGCGACGAUCCCUAGCUGGUCUGAGAGGAUGACCAGCCACACUGGAACUGAGACACGGUCCAGACUCCUACGGGAGGCAGCAGUGGGGAAUAUUGCACAAUGGGCGCAAGCCUGAUGCAGCCAUGCCGCGUGUGUGAAGAAGGCCUUCGGGUUGUAAAGCACUUUCAGCGGGGAGGAAGGCGAUAAGGUUAAUAACCUUGUCGAUUGACGUUACCCGCAGAAGAAGCACCGGCUAACUCCGUGCCAGCAGCCGCGGUAAUACGGAGGGUGCAAGCGUUAAUCGGAAUGACUGGGCGUAAAGCGCACGCAGGCGGUCUGUUAAGUUGGAUGUGAAAUCCCCGGGCUUAACCUGGGAACUGCAUUCAAAACUGACAGGCUAGAGUCUUGUAGAGGGGGGUAGAAUUCCAGGUGUAGCGGUGAAAUGCGUAGAGAUCUGGAGGAAUACCGGUGGCGAAGGCGGCCCCCUGGACAAAGACUGACGCUCAGGUGCGAAAGCGUGGGGAGCAAACAGGAUUAGAUACCCUGGUAGUCCACGCUGUAAACGAUGUCGACUUGGAGGUUGUGCCCUUGAGGCGUGGCUUCCGGAGCUAACGCGUUAAGUCGACCGCCUGGGGAGUACGGCCGCAAGGUUAAAACUCAAAUGAAUUGACGGGGGCCCGCACAAGCGGUGGAGCAUGUGGUUUAAUUCGAUGCAACGCGAAGAACCUUACCUACUCUUGACAUCCACAGAAUUUGGUAGAGAUACCUUAGUGCCUUCGGGAACUGUGAGACAGGUGCUGCAUGGCUGUCGUCAGCUCGUGUUGUGAAAUGUUGGGUUAAGUCCCGCAACGAGCGCAACCCUUAUCCUUUGUUGCCAGCGAGUAAUGUCGGGAACUCAAAGGAGACUGCCGGUGAUAAACCGGAGGAAGGUGGGGAUGACGUCAAGUCAUCAUGGCCCUUACGAGUAGGGCUACACACGUGCUACAAUGGCGUAUACAAAGAGAAGCGACCUCGCGAGAGCAAGCGGACCUCAUAAAGUACGUCGUAGUCCGGAUUGGAGUCUGCAACUCGACUCCAUGAAGUCGGAAUCGCUAGUAAUCGUAGAUCAGAAUGCUACGGUGAAUACGUUCCCGGGCCUUGUACACACCGCCCGUCACACCAUGGGAGUGGGUUGCAAAAGAAGUAGGUAGCUUAACCUUCGGGAGGGCGCUUACCACUUUGUGAUUCAUGACUGGGGUGAAGUCGUAACAAGGUAACCGUAGGGGAACCUGCGGUUGGAUCACCUCCUUA
rnacentral:rRNA from 2 species